CUACGGGCUGCUCCAGUGAGGAAUAUUGCACAAUGGGGGCAACCCUGAUGCAGCAACGCCGCGUGUACGAAGAAUCUGAAUACAGUGUAAAGUACUGUUAGAAGGGACGAAAUAUUAGAUUAGGAGUCUAAUUUGCCGGUACCUUCUAAGAAAGCUCCGGCUAACUCCGUGCCAGCAGCCGCGGUAAUACGGGGGGAGCAAGCGUUGUCCGGAAUCAUUGGGCGUAAAGGGCAUGUAGGUUGUAAUUUAAGUCAGUUUUUAAAUGUCACGGCUUAACCGUGGACUGGAAUUGAAACUGGAUUACUUGAGUAUGAGAGGAGACAGAGGAAUACCUAGUGUAGCGGUGGAAUGCGUAGAUAUUAGGUAGAACACCUGAGGCGAAGGCGUCUGUCUGGCUCAUUACUGACACUGAAAUGCGAAAGCAUGGGUAGCGAACAGGAUUAGAUACCCGCGUAGUC
rnacentral:rRNA from 1 species